UACGUAGGGUGCGAGCGUUAAUCGGAAUUACUGGGCGUAAAGCGCGCGCAGGCGGCGCUGCAAGUCAGGCGUGAAAUCCCCGAGCUUAACUUGGGAAUGGCGCUUGAAACUACGGUGCUGGAGUGUGGCAGAGGGAGGUAGAAUUCCACGUGUAGCGGUGAAAUGCGUAGAGAUGUGGAGGAACACCGAUGGCGAAGGCAGCCUCCUGGGCCAACACUGACGCUCAUGCACGAAAGCGUGGGGAGCAAACAGG
rnacentral:rRNA from 1 species